GAUGAACGCUAGCGGCAGGCUUAAUACAUGCAAGUCGAGGGAGAAUGGGGCUUCGGCCCCAGGGAACCGGCGCACGGGUGCGUAACGCGUACACAACAUGCCUUAUACUGGAGUAUAGCCUCGGGAAACUGGGAGUAAUCCUCCAUAAUAUUAUCGGGUGGCAUCACUUGAUAAUUAAAGAUUUCUUCGGUAUAAGAUUGGUGUGCGUAUGAUUAGCUAGUUGGUAGGGUAACGGCCUACCAAGGCGACGAUCAUUAGCUGGCGUGAGAGCGCGACCAGCCACACUGGAACUGAGACACGGUCCAGACUCCUACGGGAGGCAGCAGUAGGGAAUAUUGGACAAUGGGCGAAAGCCUGAUCCAGCCAUGCCGCGUGAUGGAUGAAGGCCCUCUGGGUUGUAAACAUCUUUUAUCAGGGAAGAAACAUCUCGUUUCUACGAGACUUGACGGUACCUGAUGAAUAAGCACCGGCUAACUCCGUGCCAGCAGCCGCCGUAAUAC
rnacentral:rRNA from 1 species